UUCCUUCUCCUCCUCUUUUUCCUCCUUUUCCCUCUUCUUCAUUUUUAUUUCGUAGAAUUUGUUUUGGCUUUCUUUUGGUUUUUGAGACAGGAUUUCUCUUGAAAGACCCCAGCUUAGCAGCAGUAACGCCAUUUUGCAAGGCUGUACUUAAGAUGACUGGUUCAGGGAAAGGUUAGAACACUGAGUACACAGCGGCUGCCAAGCAAGAUAUGUUUGGUUGAAGGCCUGGCAACAGGACGACUUCGGUUGAGCACCUGACAAUGAAAAAAAGCCCCAGGAGAGGUCCCACACCCUGGUGGGGGGCCGAGUCAGUCGUUAUGUUCCAAGAAGGUAGCUAAGAAACUUGCCCCCGGGCUGAACCCUUGGGGGGCCGAGUCAGCCGUUAUGUUUCAGGAAGGUAGCUAGGAAACUUGCCCCCGGGCUAAACCCUUGCCAUAUUAGAAUCCACCAAUUAUAUCCCUGUAACCAUGCAUCUGCUUCUGUAUGCUUGCUUCUGCUCCCCAAAAUCCUAUAAAAGCCCAUCCUUGGUUCUGUGGGGCGCGCCAGUCCCCCGAGUGACUGAAGCGCCCGCAGGUGCCUGUGCCUGUGUAUCCCGACAAUAAACCAAAUCCUCUUGCUGAUUGCAUCCUGUGGUGUCUCAGUCUGGUCUUUGGAGUUGGAGGGUCUCCAUCCCGAGGGAAAGUUCUCCCUGAGAGCUUUUCAUUUGGUGCGUUGGCCGGGAAAGGAGAUCCUCCACCCAGGGACCACCGACCACCCACUGGGAGCCUACUUGGGAUGACUGCCAACAGCUCUUAUAGGCCCUCUUAACCUCAGAAGAAAAACAAAGAGUGUUCCUAGAGGCCAGAAAGCAUGUUCUGGGAGAUGAUGGGCGUCCCACCCAGCUGCCUGAGGACCAAACUGGGAUUUUAAUACAGCUGAAGGUAAGGGACACCUACGCCUUUAUCGCCAGUUGCUUCUAGCGGGUCUCCGAGGGGCUAUACGACGCCCUACUAAUUUGGCUCAGGUAAAACAGGUAUUACAGGAAGCAGGGGAAACUCCCUCCGCCUUUCUAGAGAGACUUAAGGAGGCCUACCGUAUGUACACUCCCUAUGACCCAGAUGACCCAGGACAAAUGACGAGUGUCUCUAUGUCCUUCAUCUGGCAGGCUGCUCCAGAUAUCAGGACUAAGUUACAGAGGUUAGAAAAUUUGCAGGGCUAUACAUUACAGGAUUUACUUAAAGAAGCUGAAAAGAUUUUUAAUAAGAGAGAGAAUUGAGUCGAAUCUUGGCCGCCGUAGUUCAGGGCCAAGAAAGGAAGGGAGAUAGGGGGGAGCUCGAAAGGGGCUGAAGCUGGAUAAAGAUCAAUGUGCCUAUUACAAAGAGAAAGGGCACUGGGCCAGAGAGUGCCCCAAGAAGCCUGGCGGACCCCGAAAGCCUCGACCACGAACCUCCCUCUUGGCUCUAGAUAAAGAUUAGGGAGGUCAGGGCCAGGAGCCCCCCCCCCCCGCGAGCCCAGGGUAACGCUUAAAGUUGGGGGGCAGCCGGUUACUUUCCUGGUAGACACAGGAGCCCAGCAUUCAGUCCUCACUCAAGCUUCAGGACAACUCAGCGACCAGACGGCCUGGGUACAAGGAGCUACUGGUGAGAAACAAUACCGAUGGACUACGGACCGCCGGGUUCAGCUGGCUACUGGUAAGGUGACCCAUUCCUUCUUACAUGUUCCGGACUGCCCGUACCCUCUGCUGGGCCGUGACCUGCUCACCAAACUAAAAGCACAAAUUCAUUUUGAGGAAAGAGGGGCCCGAAUAACUGGCCCCCACGGAACUCCCCUUCAAGUUCUAUGAAUAUAGACUAUAUGAACUGGGACAGGACAAGCCACAAUCCCUAGAAAUAGACACUUGGGUCACGAAUUUUCCACUGGCUUGGGCAGAGACUGGUGGGUUGGGGUUGGCGCUCCAACAGCCCCCCUUAAUUAUACAGUUAAAGACCACUACAACUCCAGUCUCCAUAAAACAAUACCCCCUGUCACAUAAAGCUUAUCAAGGUAUAAGGCUUCACAUUACGAGGCUUCUAGAUCAAGGCAUCCUAGUCCCCUGCCGGUCGCCUUGGAAUACGCCUCUUCUGCCUGUUAAGAAACCCGACACUGGAGAUUAUAGGCCAAUACAAGACUUGAGAAAGGUCAACAAGAGGAUAGAAGAUAUUCAUCCGACUGUUCCAAACCCUUACAAUUUGCUCAGUAACUGUUCAUCGAUGAGAAACAGGGGUAUGCUAAAGGGGUCCUAACACAAAGGUUGGGACCCUGGAAACGCCCUGUGGCCUACCUGUCUAAGAAAUUGGACCCUGUGGCCUCCGGCUGGCCACCGUGCCUAAGGAUGGUGGCUGCUAUUGUUGUCCUGAUCAAGGAUGCUGGAAAAUUGACUUUGGGACAGCCACUCACCAUCCUAGCACCCCAUGCAGUGGAGGCCUUGGUAAAGCAGCCCCCAGACCGCUGGCUCUCUAAUUCUCGCACCAAGCCUUGUUACUGGAUGCAGAACGGGUUUAGUUUGGGCCCGUAGUCGCCCUCAAUCCUGCCACCUUGCUUCCUCUACCAGAGGAGGCAAAACAGCAUGACUGCCUACAAAUCCUCGCAGAAGUACAUGGAACCAGGCCGGACCUAUCGGACCAGCCUCUUCAGAAUGCUGACCACACAUGGUACACGGAUGGCAACAGCUUCUUGACAGAGGGAGAGCGAAAGGCUGGAGCUGCGGUCACUACGGAGGACAAAGUGAUUUGGGCGAAAGCCCUGCCUGCUGGUACCUCCGCACAACGGGCUGAACUCAUCACCUUGACUCAGGCGCUCAAGAUGACAAAAGGUAAGAGGCUAAAUAUAUAUACAGACAGCCGUUAUGCCUUUGCCACGGUACACAUCCACGGGGAGAUCUACCGGAGGCGGGGGCUGCUCACAUCUAAAGAUAAAGAUAUUAAAAAUAAGGCUAAAAUUCUGGCCCUCUUAGAAGCCCUAUUCUUGCCCAAAAGACUGAGUAUUAUACAUUGUCCAGGACACCAAAAAGGGCACAACCCAGAGGCACGAAGAAACCGGCUGGCCGAUGCCACGGCGCGAGAAGCGGCCAUGAACAAACAAAUCUUGCCCUUAAAUAGCCCAGACCAACCCACGCCCCCACCAGUGGGACAAACCAGUUGGGUUUACGCCCAUGAGGACAUAGAGCUCCUAAAAAAAAAAUGGGGGCCAUCUACCACCCUCAACUAAAACAGUGGGUCUACAAAGGACUUUUGAAUUGAUCUCCUUUUUACAUAAGAAGAUAAAAACCUUACUAGAUCGAGAAGAGAUAAAUCUGUGUUUUUUUUUAAUUGGGACAAAGCGAUACAAAAGGUGACUGAGAGUUACAAAGCGUGUGCUCAGGUUAACCUGGGAAGGACCAUGAUUGGACAAGGAGUUCGUCCUAGGGGACACCGUCCCGACAUCCAUUGGGAAAUUGAUUUUACUGAAAUUAAACCAGGUAUAUAUGGAUACAAGUAUCUCCUAGUGUUUAUAGACACCUUCUCAGGAUGGGUCGAAGCCUUCCCCACAAAACACGAGACUACAAAAAUGGUCACCAAGAAGCUCCUCGAGGAAAUCUUUCCCAGGUAUGACAUGCCUCAAGCGUUGGGGUCGGACAACGGGCCCGCUUUCGUCUCCCAAGUAAGUCAGUUGGUGGCCAAAUUGCUGGGGAUUGAUUGGAAAUUACAUUGUGCCUAUAGACCCCAGAGUUCAGGUCAGGUAGAACACAUGAAUAGAACAAUUAAGGAGACUUUAUCCAAACUUACGCUUGCAACUGGCUCAAAGGAUUGGGUGGCCCUCCUUCCCCUAGUUCUAUAUCGGGCCCGGAAUACCCCGGGCCCCCAUGGUCUAACUCCUUUUGAAAUAAUAUAUGGAACACCACCCCCAUUUGUCCAUUUCUUUGAUUCAAACAUUGCUGAUUUUGCUGACAGCCCUUCUCUGAGGGCCCAUUUACAGGCCCUACAGAUUGUGCAGAGAGACGUCUGGAGACCUUUGGCCACUGCUUACCAGGACAAGCUUGAGCAUCCGGUGGUGCCACACCCGUUCCAGAUUGGAGACACCGUGUGGGUGCACAGACACCAGACCAAGAAUCUCGAGCCACGGUGAAAAGGACCCUACACCGUCCUCCUGACUACCCUGACCGCCCUAAAGGUAGACGGAGUCUCGGCUUAGAUCCACACACCACACGUCAAGGCAGUCCGGUCUGAGGAAUUGACUAAUCACAACACUACACCCCAGACAUGGAGAGUUCAGCGCAUUCCAAACCCCUUAAAGUUAAAACUCCUACGUGGCUCCUCCUAGCCCUUUUGUGGCCUAGAGUCAGUGGGGGAAUAAGCCCCCACCAGACAGAAAUUUCUUGACCAAGUCGAGUGAAAGAUUUCACUCAAAGUUAGCAAAAAAAUGGGGGAAUGAAAGACCCCAGCUUAGCAGCAGUAACGCCAUUUUGCAAGGCUGUACUUAAGAUGACUGGUUCAGGGAAAGGUUAGAACACUGAGUACACAGCGGCUGCCAAGCAAGAUAUGUUUGGUUGAAGGCCUGGCAACAGGACGACUUCGGUUGAGCACCUGACAAUGAAAAAAAGCCCCAGGAGAGGUCCCACACCCUGGUGGGGGGCCGAGUCAGUCGUUAUGUUCCAAGAAGGUAGCUAAGAAACUUGCCCCCGGGCUGAACCCUUGGGGGGCCGAGUCAGCCGUUAUGUUUCAGGAAGGUAGCUAGGAAACUUGCCCCCGGGCUAAACCCUUGCCAUAUUAGAAUCCACCAAUUAUAUCCCUGUAACCAUGCAUCUGCUUCUGUAUGCUUGCUUCUGCUCCCCAAAAUCCUAUAAAAGCCCAUCCUUGGUUCUGUGGGGCGCGCCAGUCCCCCGAGUGACUGAAGCGCCCGCAGGUGCCUGUGCCUGUGUAUCCCGACAAUAAACCAAAUCCUCUUGCUGAUUGCA